GGAGCGGUAGUUCAGUUGGUUAGAAUACGGCCUGUCACGCGGGGUCCGGGUUCGAGUCCCGUCCGCUCCG
rnacentral:tRNA from 1 species